rnacentral:misc_RNA from 1 species
UGAUCGGCAAGAUGAACCCACAGCUGCCUCAGAUGUUCUACCCGGUGCUGGAUGACAUCACACUCACCAAGGGCGACAUCGUGGCUGCGCGAUGCACGAUGAACAACUACCGCUCCAGGAUCACAAGAGUCGGUGCCACCGCCGAUGACGAGAUGUGCAAUUUCUAUAUGAUGUAUUGGACGGAGCUGAGGCCGCUGAAGAAGGGCGUUUGCUUUACAC